AACGAACGCUGGCGGCAUGCCUAACACAUGCAAGUCGAACGAGACCUUCGGGUCUAGUGGCGCACGGGUGCGUAGCGCGUGGGAACCUGCCCUUAGGUUCGGAAUAACUCCCCGAAAGGGGUGCUAAUACCGGAUAAUGUCUUCGGACCAAAGAUUUAUCGCCUUUGGAUGGGCCCGCGUUGGAUUAGCUAGUUGGUAGGGUAAAAGCCUACCAAGGCGACGAUCCAUAGCUGGUCUGAGAGGAUGAUCAGCCACACUGGGACUGAGACACGGCCCAGACUCCUACGGGAGGCAGCUGUGGGGAAUAUUGGACAAUGGGCGAAAGCCUGAUCCAGCAAUGCCGCGUGAGUGAUGAAGGCCUUAGGGUUGUAAAGCUCUUUUACCCGGGAUGAUAAUGACAGUACCGGGAGAAUAAGCUCCGGCUAACUCCGUG
rnacentral:rRNA from 1 species